UACGUAGGAGGCAAGCGUUGUCCGGAAUUACUGGGCGUAAAGCGCGUGUAGGUGGUGGUACAAGUCUGCUGUGAAAGCGCCUGGCUUAACCGGGCGAGGUCGGCGGAAACUGUCCGACUCGAGGACGGUAGAGGGGGGUGGAAUUCCCGGUGUAGUGGUGAAAUGCGUAGAGAUCGGGAGGAACACCUGUGGCGAAGGCGGCCCCCUGGGCCGGGCCUGACACUGAGACGCGAAGGCGUGGGGAGCGAACGGG
rnacentral:rRNA from 1 species